rnacentral:rRNA from 1 species
CAGCCGCCGCGGUAAAACAGAGGAUGCAAGCGUUAUCCGGAAUGAUUGGGCGUAAAGCGUCUGUAGGUGGCUUUUCAAGUCCGCCGUCAAAUCCCAGGGCUCAACCCUGGACAGGCGGUGGAAACUACCAAGCUGGAGUACGGUAGGGGCAGAGGGAAUUUCCGGUGGAGCGGUGAAAUGCGUAGAUAUCGGAAGGAACACCAGUGGCGAAAGCGACUUCCUGGUCGAAUACUGACGUUCAUGUGCGAAAGCGUGGGGAGCAAACAGGAUUAGAUACCCGGGUAGUCCCUGUCUCUUAUAC